rnacentral:rRNA from 1 species
CCUACGGGAGGCAGCAGUGGGGAAUAUUGCACAAUGGGGGAAACCCUGAUGCAGCGACGCCGCGUGAGUGAAGAAGUAUCUCGGUAUGUAAAGCUCUAUCAGCAGGGAAGAAAAUGACGGUACCUGAUUAAGAAGCCCCGGCUAACUACGUGCCAGCAGCCGCGGUAAUAGGUAGGGGGCAAGCGUUAUCCGGCUUUACUGGGUGUAAAGGGGGCGUAGACGGCAGCACAAGUCUGGAGUGAAAUGCCGGGGCUUAAACCCGGAACUGCCUGGGAAACUGUGCAGCUAGAGUGCAGGAGAGGUAAGUGGAAUUCCUAGUGUAGCGGUGAAAUGCGUAGAUAUUAGGAGGAACACCAGUGGCGAAGGCGGCUUACUGGACUGUAACUGACGUUGAGGCACGAAAGCGUGGGGAGCAAACAGGAUUAGAUACCCUGGUAGUC